UACAGGGGGUGCAAACGUUGCUCGGAAUUAUUGGGCGUAAAGCGCGCGUAGGCGGCUACUUAAGUCGGAUGUGAAAGCCCUUGGCUCAACUGAGGAAGUGCACCCGAAACUGAGUGGCUUGAGUACCAAAGAGGGUCGCGGAAUUCCCGGUGUAGAGGUGAAAUUCGUAGAUAUCGGGAGGAACACCGGUGGCGAAGGCGGCGACCUGGGUGGAUACUGACGCUGAGGCGCGAAAAGCGUGGGGAGCAAACAGG
rnacentral:rRNA from 1 species